UGGACCAAUGAUGUGAAUGGAAUGCAUCUGAAUAAAAAUUAUGAUCAAUCAGUUUUUGGAACAACUGAGGUCCAC
ensembl:snoRNA